GAUGAACGCUAGCGACAGGCUUAAUACAUGCAAGUCGAGGGGCAGCACGGUUAGCAAUAACUGGUGGCGACCGGCGCACGGGUGCGUAACACGUAUACAAUCUACCUUAAACAGGGGAUAGCCUUUCGAAAGAGGGAUUAAUACCCCGUAAUAAAUUGAACGGCAUCGUUUGAUUUUGAAAGCUCCGGCGGUUUGAGAUGAGUAUGCGUCUGAUUAGCUAGUUGGUGAGGUAACGGCUCACCAAGGCGACGAUCAGUAGGGGAUCUGAGAGGACUAACCCCCACACUGGUACUGAGACACGGACCGGACUCCUACGGGAGGCAGCAGUAAGGAAUAUUGGUCAAUGGAGGCAACUCUGAACCAGCCAUGCCGCGUGCAGGAUGACGGCCCUAUGGGUUGUAAACUGCUUUUAUACAAGAGAAAACCCUGGUACGUGUACCAGGUUGAUAGUAUUGUAAGAAUAAGCAUCGGCUAACUUCGUGCCAGCAGCCGCGGUAA
rnacentral:rRNA from 1 species